GAUGAACGCUGGCGGCGUGCCUAAUACAUGCAAGUCGAGCGAACGGACGAGAAGCUUGCUUUUCUGAUGUUAGCGGCGGACGGGUGAGUAACACGUGGAUAACCUACCUAUAAGACUGGGAUAACUUCGGGAAACCGGAGCUAAUACCGGAUAAUAUUUUGAACCGCAUGGUUCAAAAGUGAAAGACGGUCUUGCUGUCACUUCUAGAUGGAUCCGCGCUGCAUUAGCUAGUUGGUAAGGUAACGGCUUACCAAGGCAACGAUGCAUAGCCGACCUGAGAGGGUGAUCGGCCACACUGGAACUGAGACACGGUCCAGACUCCUAAGGGAGGCAGCAGUAGGGAAUCUUCCGCAAUGGGCGAAAGCCUGACGGAGCAACGCCGCGUGAGUGAUGAAGGUCUUCGGAGCGUAAAACUCUGUUAUUAGGGAAGAACAUAUGUGUAAGUAACUGUGCACAUCUUGACGGUACCUAAUCAGAAAGCCACGGCUAACUACGUG
rnacentral:rRNA from 1 species